AAGACUAUACUUUCAGGGAUCAUUUCUAUAGUUUCUAACUUGAGAAAUGUGUUUCUAAAGGGUCUGGUCUCGCCAACCACGAUGAAGAGUCGUGAUAUUCUUCUCUGAGCGUGAAGCGGAUAGAGAUUAAUGAUUCAUUUCAUAUGAUCUUUAUCAUUGAUGAUUGUUCUUUGCUUCGUUUGUGAGCAAUGAGGAGAGGAAUAUGAUCAGAGUGGU